rnacentral:rRNA from 1 species
UGGGGAAUAUUGCACAAUGGGGGAAACCCUGAUGCAGCGACGCCGCGUGGAGGAAGAAGGUCUUCGGAUUGUAAACUCCUGUCCCAGGGGACGAUAAUGACGGUACCCUGGGAGGAAGCACCGGCUAACUACGUGCCAGCAGUCGCGGUAAAACGUAGGGUGCAAGCGUUGUCCGGAAUUACUGGGUGUAAAGGGAGCGCAGGCGGAUUGGCAAGUUGGGAGUGAAAUCUAUGGGCUCAACCCAUAAAUUGCUUUCAAAACUGUCAGUCUUGAGUGGUGUAGAGGUAGGCGGAAUUCCCGGUGUAGCGGUGGAAUGCGUAGAUAUCGGGAGGAACACCAGUGGCGAAGGCGGCCUACUGGGCACUAACUGACGCUGAGGCUCGAAAGCAUGGGUAGCAAACAGG